rnacentral:lncRNA from 1 species
AUUAUAGUGAAAUUUUCAAGAGGUCUUGGGGAGUGGAUGUAGGUGCUGGGGUGCACCGAACCACUAUAUGUUUGUUGUGUUUGUGAUGCUUUUUGUCAUUGUCUAUCUUGCUCACUUACUUAUCUAGAUAAAUUGCAUGCUUAACUCUUAUCCGCGCAUCCUUUAGUUGCAAGCAUAUUAAAUUUACUUAAUCAAGUCUCAUUCGAUAAAUCAACCUAUUGCUAAGUUUAAAUUUCACUGUGCAACUAUACAACUUAGCAUAAUUAAUUGAAAAGUGUUAGAAGUAGCUUAAAAGUUUUAUAAGACCCAAUUCACCCCCCCUCUUGGGUUGUAUCUACUGGGCAACA